CGUGCUUAACACAUGCAAGUCGAACGGAAAGGCCUCUUCGGAGGUACUCGAGUGGCGAACGGGUGAGUAACACGUGGGUGAUCUGCCCUGCACUCUGGGAUAAGCCUGGGAAACUGGGUCUAAUACCGGAUAGGACCAUGCUUUAGUGUGUGUGGUGGAAAGUUUUUUCGGUGUAGGAUGAGCCCGCGGCCUAUCAGCUUGUUGGUGGGGUAAUGGCCUACCAAGGCGGCGACGGGUAGCCGGACUGAGAGGUUGGUCGGCCACAUUGGGACUGAGAUACGGCCCAGACUCCUACGGGAGGCAGCAGUGGGGAAUAUUGCACAAUGGGCGCAAGCCUGAUGCAGCGACGCCGCGUGGGGGAUGACGGCCUUCGGGUUGUAAACUCCUUUCGCCAGGGACGAAGCGUUUUGUGACGGUACCUGGAGAAGAAGCACCGGCUAACUACGUGCCAGCAGCCGCGGUAAUACGUAGGGUGCAAGCGUUGUCCGGAAUUACUGGGCGUAAAGAGCUCGUAGGUGGUUUGUCACGUCGUCUGUGAAAUUCCACAGCUUAACUGUGGGCGUGCAGGCGAUACGGGCUGACUUGAGUACUGUAGGGGUAACUGGAAUUCCUGGUGUAGCGGUGAAAUGCGCAGAUAUCAGGAGGAACACCGAUGGCGAAGGCAGGUUACUGGGCAGUUACUGACGCUGAGGAGCGAAAGCAUGGGUAGCAAACAGGAUUAGAUACCCU
rnacentral:rRNA from 1 species